UGCAGUCGAGCGAGACCUUCGGGUCUAGCGGCGGACGGGUUAGUAACGCGUGGGAAUAUACCCUUCACUACGGAAUAGCCUCGGGAAACUGGGAGUAAUACCGUAUACGCCCUUUUGGGGAAAGAUUUAUCGGUGAAGGAUUAGCCCGCGUCUGAUUAGAUAGUUGGUGGGGUAAUGGCCUACCAAGUCUACGAUCAGUAGCUGGUUUGAGAGGAUGAUCAGCAACACUGGGACUGAGACACGGCCCAGACUCCUACGGGAGGCAGCAGUGGGGAAUCUUAGACAAUGGGCGCAAGCCUGAUCUAGCCAUGCCGCGUGAGUGACGAAGGCCUUAGGGUCGUAAAGCUCUUUCGCCAGAGAUGAUAAUGACAGUAUCUGGUAAAGAAACCCCGGCUAACUCCGUGCCAGCAGCCGCGGUAAUACGGAGGGGGUUAGCGUUGUUCGGAAUUACUGGGCGUAAAGCGCACGUAGGCGGAUUGGAAAGUAUGGGGUGAAAUCCCAGGGCUCAACCCUGGAACUGCCUUGUAAACUCCCAGUCUAGAGUUCGAGAGAGGUGAGUGGAAUUCCAAGUGUAGAGGUGAAAUUCGUAGAUAUUUGGAGGAACACCAGUGGCGAAGGCGGCUCACUGGCUCGAUACUGACGCUGAGGUGCGAAAGUGUGGGGAGCAAACAGGAAUAGAUACCCUGGUAGU
rnacentral:rRNA from 1 species